UCCCUACGGGACGCAGCAGUGAGGAAUAUUGGUCAAUGGGCGCGAGCCUGAACCAGCCAAGUCGCGUGAGGGAAGACGGUCCUAUGGAUUGUAAACCUCUUUUGUCGGGGAGCAAAAGACGCCACGUGUGGCGUUCCGAGAGUACCCGACGAAAAAGCAUCGGCUAACUCCGUGCCAGCAGCCGCGGUAAUACGGAGGAUGCGAGCGUUAUCCGGAUUUAUUGGGUUUAAAGGUUGCGCAGGCGGAAGAUCAAGUCAGCGGUCAAAUUGAGAGGCUCAACUUCUUCGAGCCGUUUAAACUGGUUU
rnacentral:rRNA from 1 species